CAUGAAAAUCUCAUCCCAUCGGUUUCUGAUGAUGAUGGACUUGGGUGUUGCCAUCUGGCUCGCCUUAAAAGUGUUAGCGGUUCCGAGGUUGAAUCUGGCGUAAUAAGUUUCGCUGGCCUAGAUCGAAGGCUGCUCAUAACCCGUCUUCUGACAUCUUUUGCUCUGACCUCAAAUCAGGUAGGACUACCCGCUGAACUUAA
rnacentral:misc_RNA from 1 species